CUAGACAUCCCUUAGGCACCUGCGGCUUGACGUAGCCCAAGGGGCUAUGAUCCUCGUGUGUUGUCAGCUUGGCCUCAAUCUCACCUCCCUUCUCAGUUCUCUGAGUGGCAGGAGAAGUCGAGAAGAUUCCCAGACUCUUCUCUGUAUGGUUCUAGGUUAGGCACAGGCCAGCUUUGCCUGAGAAAUCUACUAUAAAUGGGGGCUGCGGUCCUAGUUCAGGCCUUCUUUCUGGCUGGCUUCCCCGGCAGCCUCUCUCCCGGGGUGUUUGUGUGCGUCGGGGUCCAAUCUGAAGGCAGGAACCACAUGCUAAUUUGAAUACGGGAAGUUGAACAUAAAGAGCGAUUAUGCGUAACAGGGCCGUUGAAUAAUAGAUUGGUCAAGAAUAAGAGAUUCCAAAGAAUAUAGACGAGCACAUGUAAGGAGCAGCCUCUACCCCUGGGGUGGAGACAGAGGCCCUCCAUACCCCGUCCCCAGCUGUCUGGCUCUUGCUGGGAAGGACAUCGCUGCGGCUUACCGGAUGCAGAGAAGUCUCCGAGAUGCUGUGUUGAUAGAAUGUUCUAGAAAUCUGCUCUUUGAGGUGCCAGGGAAAGCUGUCACAGAGAGACGGAGGUACUUCCCAGUUUGUUGGUGGGCACUGGGAGACACGAUUGGCUGCCAAGUCCUGCUUACGACCAUGCAGGAUGUGGGUGCUGGAAAAUCGUCUACACUGCAGGAGCCUGGAUGUUGGAGAAGCUUCUGCACAGCAGCAGCUGAGUACUGAGGAAGCCAUGUGCACCCCCAAAGCCAGAUAAUUGGAGGGACUGCGUGGACUGCAGGAGCCUGCUAGGAUGAGGGCCCCAGCGCCAGGAGGGAAAGCCCCCCUUCCCCCAGUGUCUCCAGCCCCUCCUGCUGACAGAGCGUAACGCCAGACCAGUUGCCAAAGGAAAAGGAUAGAAAGGGCCCAGCUCCACGUUCGCAGAGCAGGCGACGAAUGGCCCGUUUGGGAGCCAAGAGCAACAACCGCACGUCACUCUGCCGUCAUCGUGCAGCGUAACCGGCUGCUUGAGAGGCUCAGCUCUGGGGUCAGGCUUCCCGGGUUCAAGUCUCGGCCCUGCCACUACUGUUGGUGUAACCUUCAGAGGCUUAUAUGAGCUCCCUGUGGCCCGGUUUCCUGCUCUGUGAAGCCAGGGUAGUGAUCGCACCAACCUCGUUGGGUUCUUACGCCAAGUAGAUGCCUCGCAGACGAAGCGCCACGUCGGAAUUUACACGCUCCUUUCUUUAAACUGCGCAUCCUUCGACCCGCAGCCUGGACGGGCUUUCCACGUAGGUGGGAGCCUCAGGCGACAGCCCUGUGGCCUAAGACAUCAUUUUUCUUUCUCUUUCUUUCUUUUCUGUGGCCGGGGCCCGGCACAGGGAGCGCUAGUUGGAGAGGUUGUCUUCUUAACAAGUCCCCGUGUUCAGAUUGCAAAAAUCAGAAACCGGCUGUCACGUUGUCUGAAACUCCCCUGUGGCUCUCCCCGCCCCCCAUCAGGUGACUGAAGGAUGUCCCGUCCCACAUCCCUCCCAGGAGAUGGCGCUUGUAAGAUCCUCUGCCCCGCUCACCUCCCACCACACCACAGCUCAGGUUUUCACGUUCGUCGUCACCGAACAUUGAAAUUCAGUUCAUCCACCCUCACGUCCCUACCGCAUUUGUGCCUCUGCUUUGCAGCUUCAUUUGUGUUGUCCCCCCUUCUGGAAAACCAUCCCCCCUCCUGUUUGCUUGGUGAAUUCACUUUCAAUGCUCCGAACACUCAAGCACCCAUCUCUUCCAGGAAGCCUUCACCAAACCCCCAGGUGGGUUGCAGAGUGCUUCCCGUUCCUUCGCUCCCCCAAAUGGUCCUCUUGUGUUGAGGUCAUAGGCUUCUGGGCCUGGUUCACUGGCUAGAGUGGAAGCCAUGUGGGGUCUCCCGCAUAUUACUCACGUUUGCAUGCUCUGUGUUUUAGCACCCCCCCCACCCCGUACCUCUGGGGCGCGCUGCAUCGCUCUAGGGCUGCCGAUCGCAGAGUUGUGCACAACCUGCUCCCCCGUUCUAUGGCCCUGAGCACCAAAUGGAGUCGCCCCACGGAUGAGAAUGGGAUGAGAAUGGUGCCCUCAAGCUCUAGACAUUGGUUACAGCACCCACUUAGAGCCAUCUGCCACACUGGCCAGCGUCUCCUGAGCACUCCCUCGGCGGGCUGGUUAGGAGGGAUUGAGGAGGUUUGGAAUCAUCAGACCACAUUUCUCUAUAAGAGAUGCCAGGUUCCAGUUGUGCCCCAUUCAAAGGAACCUCAGAAGCAGGGCUGGGGGGAGAGGAAGGGAAAAGAGGAAGGACACAGCCCUGUGAUGCAACCAAGGGCUUUAAUUAGAGCCCGCUCCUCCCGCAGUGGCUGGGGUGACUCUUGCUGGUGGCACAGGGGUGGCUCAGAUGUCUUCUCCUCCAGGGGAGUUUCUGAAUUCAUCUUCAUAGCUCCUGCUCACCGCCCUCUUCCUCCCGGAGGAGACUCGUGGGCAGCCGCCCAGCGUGGGGACUGCGGGCUAGAACGCUCAGGGUCUCCCAAGAGUGCACACUCUCAGCACCCAGUUAUUGGUGACGUACCGUGGGUAUCUCCUUUUCAAACCGUUUCUGCGAGGAUCCAUGUUCAGGUCUGAAAGAGUGAAGGAAAACGUUGAGCCUUGGGGAAGGCUGUGGAUUAUGCCUGGAUAGACCGUCUCGGGCCGGUGCCACGCGGGGACUGCUCGAGUUACUGAUGGCUUUAAAAACAAUGCUGCUCGCCUGAGCUAAAAAUAACCCCAAACUGGGUUCCGCAAACGAGAUUUUGAAGUUUACUUGUUACACCAGCAUGGCCUCGCUGGUCCUGACCAGAACACGUACACUGCCAACCUCUGCUGGGUGCCCUCUCUGUGUGGGCCCAAGUUCUAGGCACGUAUAGGUGUUGCCUCAUCUCAUCCUCCCCACAACCUGUCGGGUACGCAGUGUGCUCCCAUUAUCCCCGGUCUGUAAUGAAGGAUGCCGAAGCUCAGAGAGAGAGGUUCGGCGGCGUGCUCAAGCUCCGGACGUGGCUGAAGCAGAAUAUGACUGGUCUGUCGGACUAAACGCCAGUGAUUUUACCUAAUAUCUCAUAUCUGAUAAAUAGUCAUCAGGCUACACUGUUACGGGCGUGGGUAACUAGUCCCGUGUCCCCAAAGGGCUCAAAGAAGUCUGAUGUGUCCCAGCAGGGAGUGGCUGGGGAGACGGAAGCCCAGAGAGGUAACUCCGGCCGGUGUUCUUGCACCUGCCGCACCCCCACCGCACCACCUACUGAGGGCCCGUGGCUGAUGCUGCUGGGGUGUGCUUGGAGGGCGAGAGCCAAAAGCGGUAGAGCUCCCCUUGCUGGCGUGGCAGCAGCAACAGAAGAACUUGGACGCCAUGUGUUGGUGGGCUGGGUAAGAGGAAAGGGCCCCGGGGCUCUGCAGCCCCAACCCCAGAAGCCCAUUGUUGUUUCAGCGCUAGGUCACACUGGGCCAGCCUCUCCCAAGGCGUCAUACCCCCUCCCCUCCCAAAGCGCCUGCGCUCCCUGUGGCCAGCACGUCCAGGCCCACCUGUGUGGACCUACUUCUAACCAGUCCUUCCUCGUCUGUCCAGAGUCCUCUUGCCUUUGAAAAGGACUUGGAGCCUCUGCUCUGCUCGUCUUUACCUGCAGGGGUGUGUUGUUGAAUCAGUAGAUUUGCUGCUGACCCAGCUCAACCUUGCUGAUUCACAUCCUGGCUCUGCCACUAAUUUGCUGUGCGGCUUUGGGCUCCUCCGUGCCCGUCUCUGGGCCCGGGCUCCCAUCUUACGGGCAGUGGUUAGGCUGCACCAUUUCUCCAACAAUACUUCAAGCUCUGAUGACCCAAGGUUGUACGUCCUUGUCAUAUUCCCAAACCUCUUUCUCUUUUCUUCUGGGCCUGGUUCACUGGCUGAAGUGGAAGCCAUGUGGGGUCUGGCCCUCUCCUGUUCUCAUUUCCCUUCCCCUGUGGCCAAAGCCCCACUCUGGGAAUUUCCAUCAUGGUGGCUGUAUUCACUCGCCACACGCUGGGUUCAGUCCAAGCCUCCCCCUUGGGCACUGGCUCCCCACCUCUCCUGGGCACCACCAGGUCUCACCUGGGUCAUUGCAGUGGCCUCCUCACUGGCCUCCCUGCUUCUUCCCCCCUCGUCUUCAUUGGUGUCCACGCAGCGGAAUCCUCCUGGAAUGGAAGUCACGUCAGUCACCCCUCUGCUCGGAGUGUCCGUGUGCCAUAGUGUCGAGCUGAUGGCUCUAAGGACAACCAACCAACAGGGGCGAGAUCGUAACCUGCGGAGGGGAGCCUGGCGAUGAAGGCGUCUUCGGCAGGUGACCUAGUUCAUGUCACCCACGGCAGGACCUCCCUAUGCCGUGUGUCCCCCAACAGGAUGCGCUGGGGGGACAGCGUCGCUGCUGUGGUCUUCCCGCCAAACACGGGAAACCAGAGUCCUAAAAUGAACGCAAAUAGGGGGGCACCUCAUAAGAUGGUUGUGCCUGUGUCCCUCAGAAACGGAGAGCUCCCGAAGAUAAAGACCGAACUGUUGCAGGUGAGGACACGCGGCGGGGACACGGCACUGCCCUGUGACUCAUGAUGUUGGGUUCGACCCUGCAUCGGGUGGCAAAGCAGCUGGAAGACAUUUGGGGGACCCUUGGUGACACCAGCAUCUCAGUGUUAGAUUUUUUUUUUUUUUUUUUUUUUUUUGAGAACUGUCCUGGAGUUCUUCUCUAAGAGAAUAUGCUUGUUCUCAGGGCGCGCACACCGACCUGGUGGGGGGAAGGAGGUCUGUCGGAAGGAACUGACCGGGGGACACAGAGACGAGGCAGGAGGGAGCAGGUGGGGGGAGAUGCAAACAAUCGUGAGUCUGGGUGAAGCGUCAACAGGGGUUCUUUGCAUCUAUUGCAACUUUUCAGUAAGUCCAAGAUGGUUUCAAGACGAGAAGAAGGUGUCCGCAAGGCUUAGAUUUUUUGUUUUCGGAGAGCUAGGCGUGACCAUGUGCUUAAAAACAGGAGAAAAAGAAAAAAAAACAGUAAGGAAGACAAGCCAA